rnacentral:lncRNA from 1 species
CGCCAAGUAGACACAGUCGUAGUUGCAGUCGUGCAGAUCUGAGACAGCAGCAGACCGGCGAUUGUCCAAUCUCGGAUCUACUCUACUCUUGUCUUCUCUAUCCGAUGCCGAUUGUGCCUCCAGAAAACUGAUAGUGCUCUGGUUUCUCCCAGAUCUCGAGAACCUUCUCCGCGGCGACGAUUCUCCUCUCUACGGUACGGUUACGGUUACGUUUCUCGACUGCUUGGUUGUUCUGUAUGGUUCUGUGAAAUUGGAUUGAGCCGAUGUGAUUCUAUCUGCUGUCAAAUUAACAUUGGUGGUUUAAAUGGAAUGGAGAGAGGUGAGGAAACGAAGGGCUGGCCAACCUUUUUCCGAGAGAAUACCGACAAGACACCAAAGAUACCCAAACCCUAGGAACACAAGCCUCAGUUCGAGAAGAACCUUUAAUGGAACAGACGGUGGUAGAUUUGGG